rnacentral:rRNA from 1 species
CGGCAGAAGUUAUAGGUCUUCUUAUAGCUGCUGCCGGUGGACCAUUAAACUCUUGUUAUUUUAUGUAAUCUGAGCGUCUUAUUUUAAUAAGUCAAAACUUUCAACAACGGAUCUCUUGGUUCUGGCAUCGAUGAAGAACGCAGCGAAAUGCGAUAAGUAAUGUGAAUUGCAGAAUUCAGUGAAUCAUCGAAUCUUUGAACGCACAUUGCGCCCAUUAGUAUUCUAGUGGGCAUGCCUGUUCGAGCGUCAUUUCAACCCUUAAGCCUAGCUUAGUGUUGGGAAUCUACUUCUCUUAGGAGUUGUAGUUCCUGAAAUACAACGGCGGAUUUGUAGUAUCCUCUGAGCGUAGUAAUUUUUUUCUCGCUUUUGUUAGGUGCUAUAACUCCCAGCCGCUAAACCCCCAAUUUUUUGUGGUUGACCUCGGAUCAGGUAGGAAUACCCGCUGAACUUAAGCA